ensembl:lncRNA MIR99AHG mir-99a-let-7c cluster host gene
AUAGCACUGGCUGGUUAUAAAGGACUUGUCUAGGGGAGAGCCUAUGGAUCUGAGAACGCUGUCUGGGCUUGGUACCAAGAGCUGGUAUUUCACAGCAGCGACCGCCUCACAGACGAGCUGUGGGAAGCAGGAGGGAGACUCUCUCUUAGGGUGCCACUACUAUGGAGACACAGCUGGGCUGAACAAGAUUUGCUUCAAACGACAACAAGAGAGACAGAAAGUAUCUGGUUCAACCGCUGCCCGAGCAGGCAGGCACCAGAAGAGCUAGCAGCCAAUCCGGCCAUGCUCGAAGCCAGCUCUGCAGCUCAGCCAAUCAGUGACAUCAUUGACACAGCCGAAAUGUAAUGUGUUUUAUGAAGACGUGGCUGCCUCUGUGUUUUUCUGUGGACAUCCUAGCAAGGUCCUGUAAAGGGCGUAGCAACGUGGAGAAAUAAAUGGGGGGCGAAGGUGGUCGUGAAAGCAGAGAAAUUGUCUCCCCUCGAGAAGGAAGCAAUGUAAUGUAGCAGGAACCAUUUUGACCCCGGAGUUAAAAAUUAUAGUGUACCUCCGACUCUUUCUCUUGUUAUCACCUUGAUCAGAUCACUUAAUUUCUUUCCAUUUUCUCCUGCAUUCAAAAAUUCAAGACAAUGCCAGCAUAGAGAUUUUCUCUUUGUGUGAAAUGCCUUCCCAUUUUUUAAGAGUCUAGAUCCUUUUUUGCUUCAAGGACCAAGUUAAAUGUCUCCUCUUCUGUGAAAUCUCUCCAAAUCAUCACGACCAGAAUCUCUCACUUCUCCACCCCUUUUCAUCUCCUUUAUUGCCUGUGUGCCAGUCAGUAUUGCUGUAGGGCCACAUGUGUGUACGUCUUUGCCACUAGACUGAAAGCCCCUUGGGGACAGAGACCACAUUGAAUUCUUCCACCCCCAGCUCUAAGAAUAAUGAAUGAUGCUCCUAAGGUUCAAAUCCAUGUUUUAAUUAAUGAAUUAUAAGUACAUUAUAAAUUGCAGAGGGAGGGUCAUACAAAUUCUGGGGAUUACAAUUAUUGUUGUCAACUAUUACCACUAUGUACCAGUUGAUGUCAGCUUUACCUCAUCAAUGUUAAGCCUUUUAUUUCACUGGCCCUUCAUAAUAAAUCUCAGAUUAAAUGG